UUCCUGGUGUAGCGGUGAAAUGCGCAGAUAUCAGGAGGAACACCGGUGGCGAAGGCGGGUCUCUGGGCAACAACUGACGCUGAGGAGCGAAAGCGUGGGGAGCGAACAGGAUUAGAUACCCGGUAGUCCACGCCGUAAACGUUGGGCGCUAGGUGUGGGGCUCAUUCCACGAGUUCCGUGCCGCAGCUAACGCAUUAAGCGCCCCGCCUGGGGAGUACGGCCGCAAGGCUAAAACUCAAAGGAAUUGACGGGGGCCCGCACAAGCGGCGGAGCAUGUUGCUUAAUUCGAUGCAACGCGAAGAACCUUACCUAGGCUUGACAUGCACGGAAAUCUCGCAGAGAUGCGGGGUCCGUAAGGGCCGUGCACAGGUGGUCAUGGUUGUCGUCAGCUCGUGUCGUGAGAUGUUGGGUUAAGUCCCGCAACGAGCGCAACCCUCGUUCUAUGUUGCCAGCACGUCAUGGUGGGGACUCAUAGGAGACUGCCGGGGUCAACUCGGAGGAAGGUGGGGAUGACGUCAAAUCAUCAUGCCCUUAUGUCUAGGGCUGCAAACAUGCUACAAUGGCCGGUACAAAGGGCUGCGAUACCGUAAGGUGGAGCGAAUCCCAAAAAGCCGGUCUCAGUUCGGAUUGGGGGUCUGCAACUCGACCCC
rnacentral:rRNA from 1 species